AUACGUAUGGAGCAAGCGUUAUCCGGAUUUACUGGGUGUAAAGGGAGCGUAGACGGCAAAGCAAGUCUGAAGUGAAAGCCCCGGGCUCAACCCGGGAAUUGCUUUGGAAACUGUUUAGCUAGAGUGCAGGAGAGGUAAGCGGAAUUCCUAGUGUAGCGGUGAAAUGCGUAGAUAUUAGGAGGAACACCGGCGGCGAAGGCGGCUUACUGGACUGUAACUGACGUUGAGGCUCGAAAGCGUGGGGAGCAAACAGGAUUAGAUACCCUGGUAGUCCACGCCGUAAACGAUGAUUACUAGGUGUUGGUUGUCAUAGACAAUCGGUGCCGCAGCAAACGCAAUAAGUAAUCCACCUGGGGAGUACGUUCGCAAGAAUGGAACUCAAAUGAAUUGACGGGG
rnacentral:rRNA from 1 species